CGUGUGCUGGACUGUACUGAUCCCAGGGCCAAGUUGCCUGCCUGUGGUGUGUGGUGUGGGGGGGAAGGCCUGGGGCAGCAGGAGCAGGACAGCCAGACAGACAGGCCGGACGGGGUACCAGCACCCCGAUUCCUCUCCCUGGGACACUGUCCACACUCCGAGGGCCAUAGGCCAACCUGAGCCAUGGGUGCUGAGAAGGAGGUGCUGGUCACACUGUCAGGGGGAGCCCCCUGGGGCUUCCGACUUCAGGGGGGGGCCGAGCAGAGGAAACCCUUACAGGUAUCCAAGAUCCGAAGACGGAGCCAGGCUGGCAGAGCAGGACUCCGAGAGAGGGACCAGCUUUUGGCCAUCAAUGGGGUCUCCUGCACCAGCCUCUCUCACGCCAGUGCCAUGAGCCUCAUCGAUGCCUCAGGGACUCAACUUGUCCUCACUGUGCAGAGGGUAGAGGAUGAAGGGCCUGUGCGAUCUCCAUCCCCUGGUGAGCUUCAGGUGCUGUCACCUUUAUCUCCGAUGAGUCCUGAGCCCCCUGGUGCUCCAGUUCCCCAGUCUCUUCAGCCUGGGAGCCUCCUCUCACCCCCUGAUAGUGAGGCUUACUACGGAGAAACAGACAGUGAUGCUGAUGGCCCUGCCACCCAGGAGAAGCCCCGCCGACCCCGCCGCCGAGGCCCCACAAGGCCCACCCCUCCGGGAGCCCCACCUGAUGAGGUCUACCUGUCUGACAGCCCUGCAGAGCCGGCACCUGCUAUCCCUGGCCCUUCCAACCAGGGUGACAGCCGUGUGAGCUCCCCAUCUUCGGAGAAUGGGGCCACCCUUAAGCCACCCCCAGCCGAGGCCCUGCUGUUGCCCCAUGGUACCCUCCGGCCUGGCCCUCAUCUCAUCCCUAUGGUGGGGCCUGUUUCCCACCCGGUGGCAGAAGAUCUUACUACCACCUACACCCAGAAGGCCAAGCAAGCCAAACUGCAACGGGCAGAGAGCCUCCAGGAGAAGAGCGUGAAGGAGGCCAAGACCAAAUGCCGGACGAUUGCGUCCCUGCUGACGGCAGCCCCCAACCCCCACUCCAAGGGGGUGCUUAUGUUUAAGAAAAGACGGCAGAGAGCCAAGAAAUACACCCUGGUGAGCUUUGGGUCUGCAGCUGGGACAGGCGCCGAGGAGGAGGAAGACGGGGUCCCUCCAACGAGCGAAUCCGAGCUGGACGAGGAGGCCUUCUCCGACGCCCGCAGCCUCACCAACCAGUCCGACUGGGACAGCCCCUACCUGGACAUGGAGCUGGCCAGGCCGGGCUCAGGCGCAGCCGAGGGCCCGGGCCCGGGGCCGGGCGGGCAGCUGAGCGAGGCCUCGGGGAGAGGGGUCCAGCUCUUCGAGCAGCAGCGCCAGCGCGCAGCCUCCAGCCCCCAGGAGCCGGCGGGGGACGGGCCCGCAGCCGCGCUCCACGGGCGCGCCCUGCAGUCACCCCCUCGGGCCCAGAGUGCUCCCCCCGAGGCGGCCGGGCCCCCCGCGUUGCCAGGCCCUUUGGGGGGCCCCGGCCCCUUCCUCCCAGGCGGUGGAGCCCCCACCCCAUCUCCCAGCAUCUUUAACCGGUCAGCCCGGCCCUUUACCCCAGGCUUUCAGGGGCAGCGUCCAGGUACCACCUCGGUCAUUUUCCGGCCCGUGGCCCCCAAGAGGGCGAGCGAAAGCCUGGGCGGCCUCAGCCCUGCUCCACCACCUUUCCUGGCCUCUCCUCAGGGGCCCGCCCCUCUGCCCAGCUCCACCCCCGGGGUUCCCAGCCACCUGCCAGCCUCCAGUUCCCCCGGCACCCCGCGCUCUUCGGGCCCCGUGACGGCCACCAGCUCCCUGUACAUCCCAGCCCCGCAUCGUCCUGUGACGCCAGGCGGGGCCCCCGAGCCCCCCGCUCCCUCCAGCACGGCUGCCAUGACCUCCACCGCUUCCAUCUUCCUGUCGGCGCCUCUGCGACCCGCUGUGCGCCCAGAGGCGCCCGCCCCCGGCCCCGCCGCCCCCGAGCCCCCCAGCGCGCGGGAGCAGCGCAUCUCCGUGCCAGCCGCUCGCACGGGCAUCCUCCAGGAGGCCCGGCGUCGGGGGACUCGGAAGCAGAUGUUCCGGCAGGGGAACGAGGAGACGAAGAACUCUCCCAACCCGGAGCUGCUGUCGCUGGUGCAGAACCUGGAUGAGAAACCCCGGGCCGGGGGUGCGGAGUCCGGCCCGGAGGAGGAUGCGCUGAGCCUGGGGGCUGAAGCCUGCAACUUCAUGCAGCCACCAGGGGGCAGGAGUUACAAGACCCUGCCUCACGUGACGCCCCAAACCCCGCCCCCCAUGGCUCCCAAGACCCCGCCCCCUAUGGCUCCUAAGACUCCACCCCCUAUGGCUCCUAAGACCCCGCCCCCUAUGGCUCCUAAGACUCCACCCCCAGUGGCUCCCAAGCCCUCAUCUCGAGGGUUCCCCGAAGGGCUAGUGAAUGGGGCAGCCCCUUCCGCUGGAAUCCCUGAGCCCCCCAGGCUUCAGGGCCGGGGUGGGGAGCUAUUUGCCAAGCGGCAAAGCCGAGCGGACAGGUUCGUGGUAGAGGCCGCACCUAGUCCUGGCCUCGGCCCUCGGCCCCGAAGCCCUUCUCCUACUCCCUCGCUGCCCCCUUCCUGGAAAUACUCACCCAAUAUCCGAGCCCCGCCUCCUAUUGCUUACAACCCACUGCUCUCACCCUAUUUCCCCCAGGCUGCCCGAACUCUCCCGAAUAAGGCCCAAUCCCAGGGGCCGCGGGCAACCCCCAAGCAGGGCAUCAAGGCUCUGGAUUUCAUGCGGCACCAGCCCUACCAACUGAAAACUGCCAUGUUCUGUUUUGAUGAGGCUCCCCAGACUCCUGGUCCCACCUCCUCAGGGCCCCCCAAAACGGCCCGAAUCCAGGAGGUCCGCCGAUUUUCCACUCCAGUACCCCAACCCACUGCAGAACCCCUGGCCCCCACUGUGCUUGCCCCCAGAGCAGCCACUACAUUGGACGAGCCCAUCUGGAGGGCAGAGCUGGCCUCAGUCCCUGUCCUCAGCCCAGCCCCUCCUCCAGAGUCUCCCAGGGGUCUUGGGACCUCACCCAGCUCCUGUGGCUUCCAGGUAGCCAGGCCCCGGUUUUCAGCCACCAAAACGGGAUUGCAGGCUCAGGUGUGGAGGCCUGGUGCAGGCCACCACUGAGCAGGGCACAGCUCCCAGGACCAAGGAGAACUAGUUGCUUCUCCAGUGCCUAAAGUUGCUUCUCCUACCCGAUCCACCCCCUCUCUCGGGCAUUUGGAGGUUAAAUUCCCUCCUGCCAGAGGUAGUUUUGGAGUUGGUAUCCCAUCCCUGUUCCUCCUGGCUCCCAACCUCCCUGCUGCUUUCCAACCUAAUACUUCUGCUUUGGUAUCUGUGCUUCUCUUUGUGUCUCUGUAGUUUCUUGCCUGGAUCUUUGUCUUUAUCUCUAGGUCUCUCCACCCAUGUGCCCUCACCGGUCUGUAUUUCUCUACUUUGUUCUUUUCUCUGUGAACUUCAUAACAUUCAAUGAGAAGCACACAGAGAAGCUACCACUGAGCACUCAACAAGAAUCUCACCACCAGGCAGGCAGCGAUGAAACUGAAUUGAUCCUUGUUUGCUCUAAGUUAGUCUCUGCUGCUCACCUUUUCCAAACCUGGCUGGCAUAUACCUCGGCAUGUAUGUAUGCGUAUACGCAAGUGCACAGAUGUGCUCUUCUGUCUGAGGCAAGAGCAAGAGGAGAUAUCUAAAUAAAGACCUGAUGUGGGUCUCACUCUUGCACUGAUGAAAGAAGGGUGAGAUAACCCCACAUGGAUAAUCUAGGGGAGAAAGAGGUUCACUACAGUUGAAGACUAGCAUCUGUAACUGGUAUACAGCAUCUUGUGAAACGUGUGGAGUAUGGGGAGACGUGAAGGACCAAGGCAGUUUGUAUGGGCUGCAUUAUACCAGUCAGAUCAGGAAUCUAACUAAAAAUUCCAUUCCUCAGGAUUUCGGACAGUUAGCAACUUGACAGGCCCAUGCUGGGCAACAAGCACCCAGGAAGUGAACAGAAAGAAAAACGUCCUCUGAGAAUGAACAAAUCAUUGGCUUCACUUCCUCUAAGCCUAGCACAGACAGAAAGAAAAGAGCCAUGGUGUGGAAAAUGAGGCAGAACCGGGAGCAGAGCAGAAAUUAAUGAAAUCGAUGGAGCCACAAAGAGGAGCAUGGUGAUAGAGAAUGCAGUGUUGGCAGAGAGUAAAGUUAGGUAACAAGAAACCAACUGUGGGCAAGAGGAGGAUUUGGGGGGAAUUGUGAUGGAGAAGAAUGCAUUUGUUAGAGUGAAGUGGAUGAUGGUGGGGGGAUGUCAGAGUAUAUACUGAGUGUUGAAAAAACAGUUGGUAUCUGUGCUACCUCCUUUGAGUCUGUCCCUCUGUCUUCUUUUUUUAAAUUUAAAAGUAUAUUUUUUAUUGAUUUUUUACAGAGAGGAAGGGAGAGGGAUAGAGAAUUAGAAAUAUCAAUGAGAGAGAAACAUUGAUCAGCUGCCUUCUGCACACCCCCUACAGGGGAUGUGCCCACAACUGAGGUACAUGCCCUCGACAGGAAUCGAACCUGGGACCCUUCAGUCCACAGGCUGAUGCUCUAUCCACUGAGCCAAACCAGUUAGGGCAUCUUCAACUUUUUUAGAUAAUGCCAACUGUUUUCCAGUAUUUCCAUGUUUUCCAAAGUGGUGGUAAUAAUAUACACUUUGACCAGCAGCUUUUUCCUGGAAAUUGAGAAAAUUCAAUUCUAAAAUUCAUAUGACAAACAGUGAAGAAUAGAUAGGACACUUUGGGAGAAUAAUAAUAAAAUGAGUAACUUACUUUGUGUAUCAGUAUCAGUCAGAAUAGGCUAAGUUAUGUUGUGGUAACAAACUAAAACCUCAGUGAUAAACAUGCAAAAGAUUUAUUUUUUAUUCAUGUUACUUGUCCACUGCAGGUUAGUAGGAAAACCCUACAGAUGAUAGUCAUUCGGGAAUUGAGGUGCCAAUGUUAUAACCAAAGUGAAUAUUACUAGUUGCUAAGCCAAAGGGAAAAAGAGCUCUGGAGGGUUUUACACAGACAGUUUUGUUUGCUCAGCAGGUCACUUCUGCUCACAACUCAUUGACCAGAGCUAAUCAUGUGGCUCUAAUGAAUCACAAGGGGGCCAGGAAGUAUGAUCCUAUUAUACUUUUUGGGAGAAGGGAGAACCAGAAAUAGUUGGUAGGCAACACUAAUGACUACCAUACUUUAUCAGAUAUCAAGACUUAUAAAACUAUAGUCAUUACGAUAAUGUGGUAUCAACACAGUUUGACUAAUAAACCAAUGGAGCAAAAUCAAGAGUUCAGAAACAGACAUAGGGAAAUUUGCUCCUUGUCCUGCCAAUCAAAGAAGAAAGUGGACUUUUCAAUAAAUGAAGCUUAGAUAAUUGGUUAUGCAUAUAGGAAAAAAAUAAAGGAAAUUAGAUCCCUAGCUCAUAUUAUACCAAAAUUAAGAAUUUCAGAUGAAUUAAGGACAAAAUGUGAAAGGCAAAAUUUUUCAAGAUUUAGAAGGAAAUAUGAGAAAAUAACAUGACAUCAGGGAUAGAGAGGACUUAUUAUAUGAGUGUUAGUACACGCAGAUCCAGGGAAAAGCCUUGAGACUGAAAAUCUACCUCCAUAAGUGGAGGGCAGAGAAAGAUCGAAGAAAAAGGUUAGCCACUCCAGUGUAGUAUUUAAUCGAAUUUAUUAAGGGAAACUUACAUUUGAGGCAUAUUUUGGGUGGCUGUAGGAUGAAAUGUAUCUAUCUGCCAUUUGGCAGAUGCCAAAGAAUGAUGUAGGGUAAGAGGAGAGGGAUAGUCACAGGUAUUAGUACAUGAAUGCUACCAGGUGUGAGAAAUUACUUCACAUGCUUGACUAGGUCAGGACAACAACCUGUUCCAAGAACCAGUACAUAGCAGGGGGCAAGGGCUGAUUUAUGUCAGAGUGAACAGCAAUUAUAAUCACUUUCUAAGUGGGCUUUGCAGAAAGCAACCCCCUUUCUGGCCGAGGUCCAGCUUGUGGGACACACAGCAGUCAUGUCAUGGAACUAACUACCUCUUCCCCACAAUAAGACAUGAAAAAUACAAAGUGAAAAGUAUUGAUACAUUUCAGUACAAAAAAAUUUAAUGUUCACAGAUGACUCCCUUUCAUAAAGAGAAUAAAAACAUAAGGCUACAAGUUGGGAGAAAUAUCUGUAGUACAGCUGGCUGGUGUGGCUCAGUGGUUGAGCAUCAACCUAUGAACCAGGAGGUCAUGGUUCGAUUCCAGUCAAGGCAAACGCCUGGGUUGCUGGCUUGAUCCCCAGUAGGGGGCAUGCAAGAGGCAGCCAAUCAAUGAUUCUCUCAUCAUUGACAUUUCUAUCUCCCUUUCCCCUCUCUGAAAUCAAUAAAAAAAUAUAAAAAAAUCUAUGGUACAAAUAACCAACAAAGAACUGGUAUCAAGCAUAGAACUUCAGAGAAGAAAUCUUACAAAGAAUAAGUAAGAGUGUUGGCCCAUGGACUGAAGGGUCUUGGAUUCGAUUCAGGUCAAGGGCACGUGGAGUGUGGGCUGUCAGGCAUGUGCAGGAGGCAACCAAUCAAUGUGUUUCCCUCACAUCGAUGUUUCUGUCUCUCCCCCUACCUUCCUCUCUCUCUAAAAAUCAAUGAAAAAAUAUUCUCGGGUGAGGACUAACAAACAAAAAAAGAUAAAUGUGUCAACAGGAAAAUGGGCAAAAGGCAUAAACAGGCUUUAAAAGAAGUAUAUGAAAAAUGCUUACCCUGUUUAAUAAUCUAAGAAUAUAAAUUAGACCAUACCCUUUAGAUAAGUAGAAAUUUAAAAAUCAGAUAAAACUGUUAUCUAAAAGGUGGAAUAAUGAAAAUUUACAUACAUUGCUGGUUGGAAUAUAAACUGAUAUUACUACUUAGUAAAACAGUUUGUCAUUUUUCUAGUAAAAUUGAACUAGCAUAUAUCCUACCACUCAGUGAAUUGCACUCCUACAUAUAUGCUGUGGAAAACAAGUACAUG